CACUACAUUGAAUUACUACGACGGUGUGUGUGUCCCAGCUCCCACGGACACGGAGAGGUGAAAUUUGCCUUCAGAGAGGACCACAGAAACCCUCCACAGGGCCGGACGGAGCGGCCGAAAACGGGACUUUUUAUCUCCGGGACCGAACCCAGUGACACCGUCCUCUCUCACCGGCUCUCCUCUCCUUUGUUGUCGUUGUAAACUUCGGCUCAGUCAGCAUUUGCCGGUGAGCCUCCCAACCCCGUUACCUUUGACUCGGCUUGUCCCCGCUUGACUUUAGGGAAGAGGGGUCGUUUUUUUAAAAAAGCUAUUUUAUUUUAUCGGAGAAGACUCAACUUUUACCUCCGAGGAAGCAGAGAAAAGUGGCAGCAGCCCUCAGACAGGAUACUCUGUAGCCAGUGGGAUGUUAGAGCUCUGGAAGCAGGACUGACUAAAGGAGCAUGGUGAAACACCAACCCCUCCAGGUCUAUGAGCGCCAGCUGUGUUUGUCAUGUAUCACUGGGAUCUACGGUUGCCGAUGGAAACGCUAUCAACGUUCCCAUGAUGACACCACCAAGUGGGAGCUGCUGUGGUCCCUCAUCCUCCUCCUUACCUUCUGUCUGCUGCUGGUCUGGUUCUACUUCUGGUGGGAGGCACAUAACGACUACAAUGAAUUCAACUGGUUCCUGUACAACCGCUCUGGGGAGUGGAGUGAUGGCACUGUUCCCAUCCUCACCACCACCGCUGCUGGCUUCACCUACAUUGCAUUUUUAAUGGUUUUAGCACUUUGUCACAUUGCACUUGGACAACAGUUAAAUUUGCACUGGCUCCAUAAGAUAGGAGUGACUGCUGCUUUGCUCACCACUAUUGUUGGGGUGAUAUCUGUCAAUCAAACAUGGGGUCAAGAGUGGGAUGUGAUUCCCAUCUCCCUGCAGGCUACAGGUCCAUUCCUGCACAUCGGGGCACUUGCUGCCGUCACAGCGCUGUCUUGGAUCGUGGCUGGACAGGUCGCCCGUGCAGAAAAAACAUUGUUCCAAGUGGUGGUCGUGCUGCUGUAUCUCAGUGUGUUAUUAGGACUCUACGUGGUCCCCCUAUAUAUCACCUCCCCCUGCAUCAUGGACCCCGACACCCUCAAACCACGACCCGAUGUUAUCGGUCACCAGGGAGCCCCCAUGCUCGCUCCAGAGAACACACUGUGGUCCUUCCAGCGAGCUUUGCAAAUGAACGUCACUGGAUUGGAGGCUGACGUGGCUAUCAGUGUGGAUGGUGUGCCUUUCCUGAUGCACGAUCUUACCCUGCGGAGAACAACAGACGUAGGGAAGGUUUUUCCGGACAGACAGAUGGAUGAAGCCUCACGUUUCAACUGGACAGAUCUGCAGCAGCUCAACGCCGGACAGUGGUUCCUCAAGGAUGACCCCUUCUGGACAGUGCACACCCUGGCCUCACGUGAGAUAGAACUGAUCGCCAACCAGAGUGUGUGCAGCCUGGAGCAGCUUCUAAAGCUGGCCUCCUAUCACAACACCACGGUGGUUUUCAGGCUGCGGAGACCUUCUCCAGAGCACCCCUGCUACCACAGCUGGAUCAAUGAUACACUGCAAGCUGUGCAGCAGUCUGGGGUUUCUCAAAGCCUGGUGAUGUGGACUCCUGAUGAGCACAGAGCUCAGGUGAGACAGUUAGCACCUGGUCUGAUCCAGACCUCGGUGGAGAAACGGAGCCCUCAGAGUCUGCAGAAGGACGGCAUCAGCAGGCUGCUGCUCAGAUACAAUCAAGCCAGUACGCGGGAAAUCAGAGACUUCUCCGAGACCCACAUAAACCUCACCCUCUACACUGUCAACGAGCCCUGGUUGUACUCGGUACUCUGGUGCAGCGGAGUGUCUUCAGUCUCCUCAGAGGCCCCGCAUAUACUCCAAAAGGUGCCUUACCCCAUUUGGCUCAUGAGCCCAAGUGAAUACUGCCUGAUGUGGGUGUCUGCAGACCUCAUCUCCUUUGCUGUAGUCAUAGGAAUAUUCAUUUUCCAGAACUAUCACAUGAUCAGGUAUCGGACGAGCGGUAUGCGCAGCUACAACCCUGAACAGAUCAUGCUGAGCGCUGCAGUCAGGAGGUCCAGUCCAGACAUCAACGUUAUGAAGGAGAAACUGAUCUUCUCUGGUCAACCCCAGUAACCGCCUCCCUUCUCCAUCCUUCGUGUGAUGUGCAGCACCUCCUGUCCAUCCUACCACACCUCCAUCUUCUUCGCAAGCAGUGACUUCUCCCUUUCCUUCCGUGCAUCCAUUGCAUCCCUCAUUGCCUUCCACCUCUCUGCCUACUUUACCCUUUUCCACUCCAUCCAUCCAUCCAUCCAUCCAUCCAUCCAUCCAUUCAUGCAUCCGUGCUCCCCUACAAUCCUCCCAGUGGAGAUGACGUCAUGUAGAACCUCCCCUACAUGAUAGAUGCCCCAGUCUGUCUAGACAGCCUCUAGUGCUUUGGGUCAAAGAGGUGGGGAACGGAGUCGGCAGUGCUGACGAGCUGUACGGGGACAACGGCUACAACUACUACACCAAUCAGGGCAUCAGCCAGUGAUUGGACCUCAGCCUGUGUCUUUUUUUCUGUUGCAAGAUGGAAGCAGCCUCACUUAGCAUUCACAUCAUUCCUGUUUAUCAGUGUGAAGCCUUUUUUCUUCCCCUCUGCCCUACUGAUUAACAGACAGACUGCUGUAUCUGGAGGAGACACCAGGUGCCCAUUUGCUCUGUGUACAUUCUGUAAAUAGUGUUUUUUUUCCUUGUCACACAUGAUGUAAAUCACACAGAACUACAAGCACUUUUUAUUGACGGAAUUCGCCAAGUCUGUGGCCUCCUUUUCCCACAUCCAAAUGUCCAAGAGGCCCUAAUGAGUUACCAAUGCCUGCUUCUUUUUAAAUAUGAAUUUCCAGAUUCUUUACUUUUAGCUAAUUUUCCAAAGCUGUUUGUUAUUUUAAGCGGUGCAAAUGAUAUUCUUCUCUUAGCAGAUGAAUUUCUUUUUAACAAGGCUUUACCGCAGCAUGAGGUGAAAGAUUUACAGCUCAUUAUGCUCCUGUCAGCUCUCCGUGGUGCUGUAGAUCAUGAUAGUACUAAUAUUCAUAUUUAUAUUUAAAGAGAAACCAAACAAAAAACACAAACACAAUGUUUACUGAAGUCCUGCCUUCUCCUCCAGGUGAAAUGCUCACAUGGUGGAUGUAAGAUGAGUAUUUUAUAGAGGCUAAAUGCCCUCCUGGCCUACUUUUGACCAGUGCAUGUAACUGUAAGGAUCCUAUCAACUGACUUGUGUGAGCUGUGCUCCCAUUGAAACCAGAAGAACUGGUGAAAAUGUUGGAGGAUGAAGAUUCGUGCUGUCUUUUUAUGGUUUAUGGUGAAUGUGUAUGAAUUAUCGUAUUCUUUUUUUUUUAAAAAAGAUGUGUACAGUGUAUUGUGUGUAUUCUGGCUGGGUAUAUAUUUUUUACCCUGCGUGCAGUGCUGUGUUGAGUGUGUUCUUGUGUAUAUAAAAGGUGAACCAAUGUGUGAGAUGCUCAAGCCAACUAAGAAUACCAUUUGAUCAAUGUGAUAGUUUAAUAACUGCCAUAGUCUGGUCAUGAUGGAUUUCAAUUCCCUGCACAGCCUUUGAGUUGCAGUUAAAUCUGUGGUAUUUUAAAAUGCAUCUAAAUGUCGGUUGCUGGUGUAAAACUGAAAUGCUGUAAGGUAAAUGAAGUGGGUGCUAAAUGUGAAAAUAAAGCUGUAAGCUAACUGAAGGGAUGCUACAAGUGUCACAACGAGCAGCACAGGUCAAGAAAUGGAUUGCCUUUUGUGUUUGUUUUCUUUCUCUGGGUGUUACUGUGCCUCAGAAGUAAACAUUAAAAAAAAAAACUAAUA